CCCUUAGAUGUCCUGGGCCGCACGCGCGUUACACUGAUGCAUUCAACGAGCUUCACCUUGGCCGAGAGGCCUGGGCAAUCUUUUAAACCUGCAUCGUGAUAGGGAUAGAUUAUUGCAAUUAUUAAUCUUGAACGAGGAAUUCCUAGUAAACGCAAAUCAUCAAUUUGCAUUGAUUACGUCCCUGCCCUUUGUACACACCGCCCGUCGCACCUACCGAUUGAAUGGUCCGGUGAAGCCUCGGGAUUGUGGCCAGUUCACUUUAUUGGGAGUUGGCUGUGAGAACUUGUCUAAACCUUAUCAUUUAGAGGAAGGUGAAGUCGUAACA
rnacentral:rRNA from 1 species